CCUUAACCACACACAUCUUAUGAAGCGAGCCGAUAUAUAGGCUCAGGGUUUGUGAGUAUAUUGGUACUAUUUAUUCUAUAUACCUUAUAUACACCAGACGGUACUACGCUAUCUCUUUUCCCUCCUGUACUUAUCACCUAGGACACAGUACCUGGAGAGAAUCUUGGACGAAAAGGAGGGGAAGGGUCGCCUUUACGGACCCUAAGGCGCAGAUACUUGAGCUAGUAUAUCAGCUCAAUAAAGUGUGAGUUAGAUACCUAUGUACUUUAUUUCUAUUUACAUUUGGUAUACAGAUUACACUAUGUUCUGUACAUUUAUGUUUUUGAUUUAAGGUUUACCUGGAUAUAUUGGGACUAGCUAUAAAUACAAACAACCCAUCAAGGUAUAGCUAAGUCUUUUUUACUCAUUCCGGGAGAUCCACUAUUA
rnacentral:lncRNA from 1 species